rnacentral:rRNA from 12 species
CGUCGGGAGAUGUGGGCAGAGUUUUCUGUUCUGUAUGAGCGUUCGAGUUCCCUGGAAUCCUUUAGCAGGGAGAUAGGGUUUGGAAUGCGAAGAGCAUCGCAGUUGCGGCGAUGUCCGGAUCUUCCCCUCGGACCUUGAAAAUCCGGGAGAGGGCUACGUGGAAAGUUCGCACCGGAUCGUACCCAUAUCCGCAGCAGGUCUCCAAGGUGAACAGCCUC